rnacentral:siRNA from 1 species
UAUGAUGGAUGCAUGGAAGUUUGG